GACGAACGCUGGCGGCGUGCCUAAUACAUGCAAGUAGAACGCCGAAGGAGGAGCUUGCUUCUCUGGAUGAGUUGCGAACGGGUGAGUAACGCGUAGGUAACCUGCCUGGUAGCGGGGGAUAACUAUUGGAAACGAUAGCUAAUACCGCAUAAGAGUAGAUGUCGCAUGACAUUUGCUUAAAAGGUGCAAUUGCAUCACUACCAGAUGGACCUGCGUUGUAUUAGCUAGUUGGUGAGGUAACGGCUCACCAAGGCAACGAUACAUAGCCGACCUGAGAGGGUGAUCGGCCACACUGGGACUGAGACACGGCCCAGACUCCUACGGGAGGCAGCAGUAGGGAAUCUUCGGCAAUGGACGGAAGUCUGACCGAGCAACGCCGCGUGAGUGAAGAAGGUUUUCGGAUCGUAAAGCUCUGUUGUAAGAGAAGAACGAGUGUGAGAGUGGAAAGUUCACACUGUGACGGUAUCUUACCAGAAAGGGACGGCUAACUACGUG
rnacentral:rRNA from 1 species